UACGGAGGAUGCAAGCGUUAUCCGGAUUCAUUGGGUUUAAAGGGUGCGCAGGCGGAUUGGUAAGUCAGGGGUGAAAUCCCACAGCUUAACUGUGGAACUGCCUUUGAUACUGUCAGUCUAGAGUAUAGUUGAAGUUGGCGGAAUGUGUCAUGUAGCGGUGAAAUGCUUAGAUAUGACACAGAACACCGAUCGCGAAGGCAGCUAGCUAAGCUAUAACUGACGCUCAUGCACGAAAGCGUGGGGAUCAAACAGGAUUAGAUACCCUGGUAGUCCACGCUGUAAACGAUGAUUACUCGAUGUUGGCGAUACACAGUCAGCGUCUGAGCGAAAGCAAUAAGUAAUCCACCUGGGGAGUACGAUCGCAAGAUUGAA
rnacentral:rRNA from 1 species